rnacentral:rRNA from 1 species
AUUGAACGCUGGCGGCAGGCCUAACACAUGAAAGUCGAACGAGUGGCGGACGGGUGAGUAAUGUCUGGGAAACUGCCUGAUGGAGGGGGAUAACUACUGGAAACGGUAGCUAAUACCGCAUACCAUCAGAUGUGCCCAGAUGUGAUUAGCUAGUUGGUGGGGUAACGGGUCACAAGGGCGACAAUACCUAGCUGGUCUGAGAGGAUGACCAGCCACACUGGAACUGAGACACGGUCCAGACUCCUACGGGAGGCAGCAGUGGGGAAUAGUGCACAAUGGGCGAAAGCCUGAUGCAGCCAUGCCGCGUGGAUGAAGAAGGCCUUCGGGUUGUAAAGUACUUUCAGCGGGGAGGCGUUACCCGCAGAAGAAGCACCGGCUAACUCCGUGCCAGCAGCCGCGGUAAUUC